CGAGUGGCGGACGGGUGAGUAAUGUCUGGGAAACUGCCCGAUGGAGGGGGAUAACUACUGGAAACGGUAGCUAAUACCGCAUAACGUCGCAAGACCAAAGAGGGGGACCUUCGGGCCUCUUGCCAUCGGAUGUGCCCAGAUGGGAUUAGCUAGUAGGUGGGGUAACGGCUCACCUAGGCGACGAUCCCUAGCUGGUCUGAGAGGAUGACCAGCCACACUGGAACUGAGACACGGUCCAGACUCCUACGGGAGGCAGCAGUGGGGAAUAUUGCACAAUGGGCGCAAGCCUGAUGCAGCCAUGCCGCGUGUAUGAAGAAGGCCUUCGGGUUGUAAAGUACUUUCAGCGAGGAGGAAGGUGUUGUGGUUAAUAACCGCAGC
rnacentral:rRNA from 1 species